AUUUUUUUUUUUUUAAUUUUUUUUUUUUUUUUUUUUUUUUUAUUUGCUUUAAAAAAUUUUAUAAGAGUAAGAAAAGAAAGUAACAUAAAUUUUAUUAAG